UACGUAGGGGGCUAGCGUUGUCCGGAAUCAUUGGGCGUAAAGCGCGUGUAGGCGGUUCGGUAAGUCCGCUGUGAAAGUCGGGGGCUCAACCCUCGAAUGCCGGUGGAUACUGUCGGACUAGAGUACGGAAGAGGCGAGUGGAAUUCCUGGUGUAGCGGUGAAAUGCGCAGAUAUCAGGAGGAACACCAAUUGCGAAGGCAGCUCGCUGGGACGUUACUGACGCUGAGGCACGAAAGCGUGGGUAGCAAACAGG
rnacentral:rRNA from 1 species